CGAAAAUUUUCGGUAAUUGAAUAAACUGACGUCUAUUUUUACAAAUAUUCGUUAAUCCAUAUCUAGAAUUAACGAAGCUCGUUUAUCGAUAUGUAAACAAAUCAUUUUGCAAACUAUUUUCGGUAAAAAAACGCCGAAAACUGUAAAAAAAACUGAAAACAGCAUGCGUCGCUGUCAGAAACAAACAGCAAUUUUUUUUUCACUGUCUCACUCUCCCAGCCGUGAUAAGUUAAACGCAUCUCGCUUUCUCCAUUCAUGGCCUCUCUUGCCUCUAGUCUUGAGUUAUUUUUUGCGCGGGCGAGAUCAAGUAGCCAUGAUUGUUGCGCUAAAAACAUCGGUCGAAUUUGGAAUGUCUGGCUCUUUUAGCUGGAUUUGGUUGGUAAUCGACUUCAACUCCGGUAGUGGUGGUAGGUAGUUUUGUUUUCUUCCACAAAGCAAACGAAAAAUCCCCAAAAUAAGAAGUUGAAGUGUGCGGAAACUCUCUGUUUUUCUUCAUUGCGCAUGAAUUGUUUAAAAUAUCUUUUUCAGGACCUAACAGCUCCACAAUCUCACCAAUGCACCGCUACCUGACGGAAUCAUCUCCAAGUUUUGUCUGUUCCCUAUCGGUGUUUCGGUCGAGAACUUAGCCAGUAUGCCCAAGUUGAUGGAUCAUGAGUGAUAUGCAGUGUAACAGACCGACCUGAUUGGGGCAUUAAUUGCCCUAACCCAGACCGUCAAAACCAUCAAUGGGAAACAGCAGAGCAGAAUGCGCUUACAUAAUUGUAAAAGCUGACAAACAGCAUAAAUUUGCCGGUGAAACAGUAAAGGUAUAAUCAAAUUAUUGGAAAUCAUUGAUUUUCAACAAAAACUAUCUUUCAGCUGGAUGUCGUUGUAGUUUUAUAAUAAAUCUUCGUUACAUACAUUUGUAAUGGCUCAAAACUCUAUAAUUAAUCAUUUUUUUGAAAUUUCAGGUUUCUCCUGGUCUGUUUUCGAUGCUAUCGGUUUUUUUUCUAGACAGCUCUACAAGUACAACUCGGAGUGAACUAGAUCGGAUAACCUAUCGGUCUAUAAAAAGGAUGAAGCGAAAAAAGAAAUAAAAUCACUGGUGCGAUUUAACUGCAAUGCUGACUAACGUAAUCAUCGUAACUUCCGGGUGGCAGGAGACAUCAUUUGGAAGAUCAUGUUCAUAUUCAUAAACAACUAAAAAAAUUACCAAUAUAAAGAAUAAUAUUAAAAGUAACCGAACAGCAUUCGGCAAGGCAAUCGGAAACCGAUAUCACCGAAGCGAACAAUAAAAUUACAAUUACAAUUACAAUUACAACACUUCGGAAGCUAUUAUGAUGAAAAAAGUUCCCGUUCGUGGCUUAAAAGUUCCUGACGAUGAGGUGGUGUGAAACGGUAAUGAUGACUAAGACUUACCAGCAAUAUCCAGGCUGGUAAAUCUUAGUAAAAAUUGUUAUAACUGUGUUAAUCUUUCUAGAUUAUUCUUGUCAAAUAUAGAAGCCCAAGGUGCGUUAACGAGCUAGCUGUAUCAUGCAAAUGAAUUUCAUUCUCAAAUACGUAACAACAAAUCGGUGUCGGAAAUCCGGGAGCGUUUUUCCAACCGCAUAACAAACCUCUCGUCAGCUUUAAGCCACGUAUGCAGAAUCAACUCUAAUAAUCCUAAGCAAUCAAGUAUCGGAGGAUUCACGAGCGCAGUACGGCCAGUGAUGAUACUUCCAACACGGAACAAAAACGGACGAGGAGGUUGAUGAAUAAAAAUUCUAUCAUUAAGGACACCAUCAUCGAUGACCACGGAAAAAGGAUAAGGAGUAAAAAUUUCAAACGUCGUCGAAGAUGUCAGAGUCACCUGCAAACUGAAACUUCCUGGCUAAGAUGACGACAUAAGAGAUGAAACAAGAUAUAAAGAGGAUUAAAUUGUGAACCUGGUCCAUAAAAUAGACAUAUUAAGACACAAUCAGCAGCAUGACAACGGAUUCAAAGCAAUCUCGAGUGGCGGAUUUUAAGAUUAUCGUUCUGGAUCACGUGUCACUAGAUAAAGAUCACACUUUGGUUUCGAUAGACUCAUACUGGUUGCUGUUCUACGAACUUACUUAGAGAUCAAUAUGCUGUGUUAUAGUUGUGUUUUUAUAAUAUUUUCACUUCUCAUGCGACAAGGAAAAGUAGUGAAAUGUUUUCAUUUUCUUCCAUGCAACUUUCCCUAAAUUUGAAAAACAGUUAUAAUUUUUAGUGACUGUAUUAAAAUGUGAUAAGCAAACAGAAAAUGCAAAUUUAAAAAAAUGUCUCAGGCAUAUUUUUACUGAUUAUAUGACUGAAACAUGAGCAGCUAUAUUUUUCUCAUUAUUUCACAUUAUCCUUCUUUUCAGGCCUCAAAAACAUGAUAGAAGCUUUCAAAAGUACUUAUAAAAUUAAUAAAAAUGACUCCAAUUUUCAAAAACGAUUAUUGUAUUAAACUAAUUAAAGACUGACUUUCAACGAGGAUAUGAUGAUGAAGGCGCUUAAGGCACGGCAUUCGAUGUAAGAUGCGAGUCGAAAAAGUUGUUUGAUUUCAGGAGGCGCUUCAUGUAAAAAAGUCGAUUUGCCUGAGCCUCUAAAUAAUGAUAAGUGUUUCCGAAAAACGGCAAGUUCGGAAAGUUCCGCUAAUGCUACUCAGCGCAGAUAGUAAACACUAAACAGCAUGUCUGUUAAGAAAUGUUGUGAGGCGUUAACAAUAUAUGUAUAUUAAUUUAAUUCCUGUUUUAUAUUUUUGAGCUACAGUUUUUGAUUCAUUGAUUUUCACAAUUCUCAAUAAGGCAUGGAUCCCGAUGGGAAGGUCGAAAUCCUGAAUUACCGAUGUGGUUUAUUUCGCACAGCACGAACUUCGAUGUGAGAUAACACGAGUCGAUUCCAGAAAGUGCUCCAUGCAAAAAAACGUCGUUUUAACUGAGCCUCUAAUGCUCAUCAGAAUGGAUAUGUUUCGCUUGUAGUGUCGUCUGAAAAUGCCAAUAAUAUUUACUGAAAACUGUGAAACGUUCGUAAAUGUUUACCGAACAUCGUAAAACAUUCGGUAAUUUCAGUUUUGGUGCACGGCGUAUAACGCGAAAUGAUUCGAGACUCGAGUCAUCUCGCGUAAUAAUCUGUGCAUCAUAAACUCAAAUUAUCGAAUAUUUUACGGUGUUCGGUUAAAACUCCUAAAUUUGGCAGUUUUCGGUUAAUAUUACUGGUAUUUUCAGACGACACUACAAGCGAAACAUAUCCAUUCUGAUGAGCAUUAGAGGCUCAGUCAAAACGACGUUAUUUUAGCAUGGAGCACUUUCUCGAAUCGACUCGUGUUAUCUCACAUCAAAGUUCGUUAUUUCGGUAAAAAUAAAAAAUACCCAUUUUUCGGUAAAAAAUACCGAUUUUUCGGUAAAUGUUACCGAAAUUUCGGUAGUAAUUACAGACAUAUCGGUAAAAAUCACCGGAUUUUUGGUAAAUAUUACCGAACUUUUUGAAGUUGUCUGGUAAAAUUUACCGGUAAUUCGGUAGUAAUUACAGAUAUUUCGGUAAACUCUACAGAUUUUUCGGUAAAUAUUACCGAUAUUUUACAGUUUUUUCGGUAAAAAUGAUCCAUAUUUCGAUUAUAAUUACGGUAUUUCGGUAAAAAUUUUAGGGAUUUCGGUAAAAAAUUUAGGGAUUUCGGUAAACAUUUUAGGGAUUUCGGUUAGAGUUUUAGGUAUUUCGGUAAUAAUUA